GGCUGGUUUGAGUGCAGUGGUUUCACAAUUAAUUGAUCACAGCCAGUUACAGAUUUCUUUGUUCCUUCUUCACUCCCACUGCUUCACUUGAAUUGGCCAAAG
ensembl:misc_RNA Y_RNA Y RNA